CCUACGGGUGGCAGCAGUGGGGGAUAUUGCACAAUGGGGGAAACCCUGAUGCAGCGACGCCGCGUGAGUGAAGAAGUAUUUCGGUAUGUAAAGCUCUAUCAGCAGGGAAGAAAAUGACAGUACCUGACCAAGAAGCAGCGGCUAACUACGUGACAGCAGCCGCGGUAACACGUAGGGAGCAAGCGUUAUACGGAUUUACUGGGUGUAAAGGGAGCGUAGACGGUUAUGUAAGUCUGGAGGGAAAGCACUGGGCCCCACCCCGGGACUGCUUUGGAAACUGUGUAACUGGAGUACAGGAGGGGCAGGCGGAAUUCCUGGUGUAGCGGUGAAAUGUGUAGAUAUCAGGAGGAACCCCGGCGGCGAAGGCGGCCUGCUGGACUGAAACUGACGUUGAGGCUCGAAAGCGUGGGGAGCAAACAGGAUUAGAUACCCCUGUAGUC
rnacentral:rRNA from 1 species